rnacentral:rRNA from 1 species
AGUGAACGCUGGCGGUAGGCCUAACACAUGCAAGUCGAACGGCAGCACAGUAAGGGCUUGCUCUUACGGGUGGCGAGUGGCGGACGGGUGAGGAAUACAUCGGAAUCUACUUUUUCGUGGGGGAUAACGUAGGGAAACUUACGCUAAUACCGCAUACGACCUACGGGUGAAAGCAGGGGAUCUUCGGACCUUGCGCGAUUGAAUGAGCCGAUGUCGGACUAGCUAGUUGGCGGGGUAAAGGCCCACCAAGGCGACGAUGCGUAGCUGGUCUGAGAGGAUGAUCAGCCACACUGGAGCUGAGACGCGGUCCAUACUCCUACGGGAGGCAGCAGUGGGGUAUGUUGGACAAUGGGCGCAAGCCUGAUCCAGCCAUCCCGCGUGGGUGAAGAAGGCCUUUGGUUUGUAAAGCCCUUUUGUUGGGAAAGAAAAGCAGCAGGUUAAUACCCCGCUGUUCUGACGGUACCCAAAGAAUAAGCACCGGCUAACUUCGUG